rnacentral:lncRNA from 1 species
UUUCACCGGCCAACACAAUAUUCCAAAUCCAAACAGGCCCCAAUCCCCCCAUUACCAGUUCACCAUUAGUCCUCUAAAAACCCCCACAAUUUCUCUCUCUCCUCUUUCUUCUUAAAUCCACCAUCUCCCCUCUCUAAAACUCUUAUAACUCGAAGAAGAAGAAGCAGCAGCAGCAACAAAAGAAGUUUAAGCUCAUUUUAAUGGCUGUUCAUGGGGAAAUCUGGUGCAAUGACGAAGCUUCCCUUGCUCCCGAAGAGGUACUACUACAGUUACCAUCUGACCCUUCCUUUGUAACCCAAGGUUGUUUUGGGGUAUUCUCAGAUGAGCGGUAUAAUGUAGGUCAGUAGGUGGUAUCUCUGUGGAAACCCCUUCUCUUCUUAGCAUUGGCGUGGAAAAUGGCAGACAGGAUGGAGCCAGGCAUUAUAGUUCUAUAAAUACUAUUAUCAAUCUUUAACUUCUAUAUGAAUUUAUCAUUUUUUUUUCUUAUUAACCCACCAAAAAUCUCAUACCCUUUUGUUGUUUUUUUUUAAAUUUUAGUUUUUUUUUUUUAAGUUUUCAAAUUUCUUGAGAUUUUAGAAGAGGUGAGAAGCAAAUGAUUCGUCAUCAAGCAUGGUAAAGAUGGGUGAGCUUUAAUCUCCUGUUUAUGAAGUAUUUUUAAUGGGGGUAUAUUUGUAUUAAGUGAAAAAAUAUUGUACUGUUGGCCAUCAUGAUAUUGAUGAUGAUGUGUGCUUUUUCCCCAAUUUUCCAUGGAUAAUAUAAAUGCAUAGUUAUUUCAUUUCUCAAUUUUGUCCGUCUUUCCUUAAUUUGUUUUCUAUUUAUAUUUGAUGUUUGUUACCUAGAAGCUUGUUGUUGUGGGUGUUUUUAUGUUUUAUUUGCUUUCUAUUUUUGCCCAUUUGAGGCAAAAGGGGGCUGUACUUGAAAAUUAAGACUUGUUCAUUUUUGCUUCUUG